rnacentral:rRNA from 1 species
AACGAACGCUGGCGGCGUGCCUAACACAUGCAAGUCGAACGAGAAGUACGUAGCAAUACGUAUUGUAAAGUGGCGCACGGGUGAGUAACACGUGGGUAAUCUGCCCUUGAGUUUGGGAUAACCCCGCGAAAGCGGGGCUAAUACCGAAUAAGACCACGGGGACCAAAGUCCCUGAGGUAAAAGGUGGCCUCUAUUUAUAAGCUACCACUUGAGGAUGAGCCCGCGGCCCAUUAGCUAGUUGGCGGGGUAACGGCCCACCAAGGCAAUGAUGGGUAGCUGGUCUGAGAGGACGAUCAGCCACACUGGAACUGAGACACGGUCCAGACUCCUACGGGAGGCAGCAGUGGGGAAUAUUGCGCAAUGGGCGAAAGCCUGACGCAGCAACGCCGCGUGGGGGAUGAAGGUUCUCGGAUUGUAAACCCCUUUCGACCGGAACGAAUCUCCUCUUGGUAAAUAAUCAAGAGGAUCGACGGUACCGGGAGAAGAAGCCACGGCUAACUCUGUGCCAGC